rnacentral:rRNA from 1 species
UACAGAGGUCCCAAGCGUUGUUCGGAUUCAUUGGGCGUAAAGGGUGCGUAGGUGGCGCUGUAAGUCGGGUGUGAAAUUUCGGAGCUUAACUCCGAAACUGCAUUCGAUACUGCGGUGCUUGAGGACUGGAGAGGAGACUGGAAUUCAUGGUGUAGCAGUGAAAUGCGUAGAGAUCAUGAGGAAGACCAGUGGCGAAGGCGGGUCUCUGGACAGUUCCUGACACUGAGGCACGAAGGCCAGGGGAGCAAACAGG